rnacentral:rRNA from 1 species
GACGAAGGGGGCUAGCGUUGCUCGGAUUGACUGGGCGUAAAGGGCGCGUAGGCGGUUCGUACAGUCAGACGUGAAAUUCCUGGGCUCAACCUGGGGGCUGCGUUUGAUACGUGCGGACUUGAGUGCGGAAGAGGGUCGUGGAAUUCCCAGUGUAGAGGUGAAAUUCGUAGAUAUUGGGAAGAACACCGGUGGCGAAGGCGGCGACCUGGUCCGAUACUGACGCUGAGGCGCGAAAGCGUGGGGAGCAAACAGG